rnacentral:rRNA from 1 species
UACGGAGGGUGCAAGCGUUAUCCGGAUUCACUGGGUUUAAAGGGUGCGUAGGCGGGCUUGUAAGUCAGUGGUGAAAGCCCGGGGCUUAACUCCGGAACUGCCGUUGAUACUGCAAGCCUUGAGUACAGUUGAGGUGGGCGGAAUACAUCAUGUAGAGGUGAAAUUCUUAGAUAUGAUGUAGAACACCGAUUGCGAAGGCAGCUCACUAAAGUGUAACUGACGCUGAGGCACGAAAGCGUGGGGAUCAAACAGG